AUUGAACGCUGGCGGCAUGCUUUACACAUGCAAGUCGAACGGUAACAGGCCGCAAGGUGCUGACGAGUGGCGCACGGGUGAGUAAUGCAUCGGAACGUGCCCAGUCGUGGGGGAUAACUACUCGAAAGAGUAGCUAAUACCGCAUACGAUCUAUGGAUGAAAGCGGGGGACCGUAAGGCCUCGCGCGAUUUGAGCGGCCGAUGUCAGAUUAGGUAGUUGGUGGGGUAAAGGCUCACCAAGCCAACGAUCUGUAGCUGGUCUGAGAGGACGACCAGCCACACUGGGACUGAGACACGGCCCAGACUCCUACGGGAGGCAGCAGUGGGGAAUUUUGGACAAUGGGCGCAAGCCUGAUCCAGCAAUGCCGCGUGCAGGAAGAAGGCCUUCGGGUUGUAAACUGCUUUUGUACGGAACGAAACGGCUCUGGUUAAUACCCGGGGCUAAUGACGGUACCGUAAGAAUAAGCACCGGCUAACUACGUG
rnacentral:rRNA from 1 species